CUACGUAGGUGACAAGCGUUAUCCGGAUUUACUGGGCGUAAAGGGCGUGUAGGCGGUCUUGCAAGUCAGAAGUGAAAUUCCUGAGCUCAACUCGGGCGCUGCUUCUGAAACUGCAGGACUUGAGUGCUGGAGGGGAUAGCGGAAUUCCUAGUGGAGCGGUAAAAUGCGCAGAUAUUAGGAAGAACACCGGUGGCGAAGGCGGCUAUCUGGACAGUAACUGACGCUGAGGCACGAAAGCGUGGGGAUCAAACAGGAUUAGAUACCCUGGUAGUCCACGCAGUAAACGAUGAUGGCUAACCGCUGGUUUAUUCGGAUCAGUGGCCAAGCGAAAGCGAUAAGCCAUCCACCUGGGGAGUACGACCGCAAGGUUGAAACUCAAAGGAAUUGGCGGGG
rnacentral:rRNA from 1 species